rnacentral:rRNA from 1 species
UGGGGAAUAUUGGACAAUGGGCGCAAGCCUGAUCCAGCCAUGCCGCGUGAGUGAUGAAGGCCCUAGGGUUGUAAAGCUCUGUCACCGGUGAAGAUAAUGACGGUAACCGGAGAAGAAGCCCCGGCUAACUUCGUGCCAGCAGCCGCGGUAAUACGAAGGGGGCUAGCGUUGUUCGGAUUUACUGGGCGUAAAGCGCACGUAGGCGGACUUUUAAGUCAGGGGUGAAAUCCCGGGGCUCAACCCCGGAACUGCCUUUGAUACUGGAAGUAUUGAGUAUGGUAGAGGUGAGUGGAAUUCCGAGUGUAGAGGUGAAAUUCGUAGAUAUUCGGAGGAACACCAGUGGCGAAGGCGGCUCACUGGACCAUUACUGACGCUGAGGUGCGAAAGCGUGGGGAGCAAACAGG